rnacentral:piRNA from 1 species
UAAUUCAUUUUUUUCAUAAAA